GCCACGAGCGACAUCGCUUCAGUCGCAACAGUGUGCGGAUAAAUUUUGUCGUAGGAUGAUCAAUGGAUUUUCUUGUUACCUUCGGAGCAAUAUUCAGUAAUAUGAAAUAUGGAGUUAAAAGGAAAUAAACGAAAUUGAGGAGAUCUACAAUACAGAUGCAGAAAUAUGAAAUAUGGAAUUAAAAAGAAAUAGACGAAAUUGAGGAGAUCUACAAUACAGAUGAAAAUAGCGAGAAGAAAUGAAAGUAAAGGUUUCACUUGCAGAUUGCAUAAUAAGAACACUGCUUGUUUCGACAGUUUUUCAUUGCAUCAAAAGAUAAAGAUCGAAUAUACGAAUAAGCAAACGAAACCAAAGAAUGAUCAACAACUUUCUGAAAACACUACUUGAAAGUCGGCGGGGCAAUUUAUCAUUGCAUUGAAAAAUGCGACAAUGCCAAUGGUCUGGCAUUGCAUCACUAAGUGAGCUUGAAGCCUAUCCAAAGAGUCAAGUUUCCUCACUUAUGGAAAUGGAAUCUUGACGACAUUCUCUGUUUACAGAAAAAAAAUAAAAGUUGUAAAUACAACAAGUAUUCAAGUAUAAAUGUGAGUUUCAUCAAAGAUAACUAAGAUUGGCUCACAAAUAAAAUGCAUUGAACCACACUUAUGUGAAAAGGUCUUUAAAUAUAAAAAGAGACUGUUGGACUGUUUUACUCUACUCGGUGACAUACGUACAUUGAUCCUGUAUGCAUACAAACGAAUUAUAUUCAAAGCUUUAACAUGGGUCGACCCAACUGUUUAUGUGAUGAUUGUAAACAGAUUCUUGAUUACAAAUCAAAGCAAUUGUGUUUAUCACUUUACAAUACAAUCGCCAUAUUUGAUGUUAUAGCAAGAUGAAUAUGAAAUAUAUAUUCAUUGAAAUUUAUUGCAUUAAUAAAUUUCAUACAAUUCUGUUGUGGAAUUUUUAUCACAACACAGUAUUGUUUAUUUUUGUAUAAAUUUUCUUUCAAUCAUUCUCGUUUUAAACAUUUAUAUCUGCAACAGUGGAAUACUUGGGCGUAAAGGCAACGGCGAUCGACAUUUUUGUCAUAUCUAAAUUAUAUCAAUGCUGUCCUGACGAAUUGUUAUACAAAACAUGUUAUAUAUAUAUUGUUUCAAUAUAUAUAUCACUUGUGUGUUAAAUUGAAGAUUCAAACAAUAUUUUAUGACCAGUUUGUGGCAAAAACCAGAUAGUCUAUCUAUGGUUGUCAAUGCCGCCAUAACACAAAUCUUUUUAUUACUUCAUAUCUUCUUAUCAACACUGCCUAUUCAGCGUGAGAAAUCUUGUGACAAACCAGGCCGGCAUGGCUUUGUCUCAUCUUCAACGUCAACUUCUUCAAAAACAUUACAAAUUACACUUACAUACACAGCGGUAGGGAGGGGGUUGGGGGUUCUGGGAAAUGGUGGUGGACCCUGGGAGGGAGAGAAAAACACAGCAUUGCAAUCAUAAUUAGGCGAUUUUGGUUUUGUCAAUUCUGAUAUAAAAUAUUCAAUAUUCUGGUAAUGACAUGGUCAGAUGGAAGUCCUUUCAUUUUUAUUUCCAAAUCAUUGGCAUUAAACGUGACAUUACGGUUGAAUGUCGUUGCCUUCUUUUUUUAAUCAAAAAUUAAGUGACAAGCAAUCCUUUUUACGUGUCCCAAUAUACAAAUAUGGGUGUUUGGACAGCCCAUGUGUGAUGGCAGUUCCAGCCUACUUCGGAAAUUGCAUAAAUAAUUAUUUUAAUGUUUGUGAACGAAUUUCUGAAGACAAUCAUAUUACUAUAAUUAUGUACACUGUUUUACGUUUUUUUAUUGAUAUAAUAUAUUUAGGAAUGAAUUAUUUUAUCUAUCAUGCUAUGUCUUUAUUUAGCUAUACGUUUUGUCAUAAUCAUUUAUUCCAUGCAAUUUCUUUAGGAUAUUUUUAACAGGAAAAGAAGAUAUAGUUUACGAGAGCGACAAUGGAAAAACAAAUUUAACAGGGCAUGCCAUGGCUUUUUUUAUUUUUAUUUAUUUUUUGUUAUAAAUGAAUUUGAACUCAUUCCUGACAUUGGCGGAAUUUCAGUUUAAAAACUAGAACUAGUUACUAAUGAUGGUUUUAGACGCAGAACUAUAGAGAUAGAAGUUGAUUUCCAGAGCAAUUAA